CCUACGGGCGGCAGCAGUGGGGGAUAUUGCACAAUGGGGGAAACCCUGAUGCAGCGACGCCGCGUGUAGGAAGACGGUCCUCUGGAUUGUAAACUACUGUCCCCAGGGACGAAGAUGACGGUACCUGGGGAGGAAGCUCCGGCUAACUCCGUGCCAGCAGCCGCGGUAAUACGGAGGGUGCAAGCGUUACUCGGAAUCACUGGGCGUAAAGGGCGCGUAGGCGGGAUAGCAAGUCAGAUGUGAAAUCCUAUGGCUUAACCAUAGAACUGCAUUUGAAACUGUUAUUUUUGAGUAUGGGAGAGGUAGGUGGAAUUCGUGGUGUAGGGGUAAAAUCCGUAGAGAUCAAGAAGAA
rnacentral:rRNA from 1 species